rnacentral:piRNA from 1 species
UGCUACCGGAGGCCACAUCGGUGUC